GCCUUCGUGGUGUAGUGGUCAGCACACUCGGCGUGUAUUCGAGAGGUCCGUGGUUCGAAUCCCGGCGAGGCCA
rnacentral:tRNA from 1 species